UUUCAAGCAGGAGGCCAUACUUGUGAUGGAUGAUUUCCACACGCCGCAUUUAUCAAGGCCGUUGAGUCGGAGCCAAUAAAGAUUUCGUUGUGAUCAUCAAAAGAAGAGAGUCCGACCGAUAUUGAGGAUGAGGCAGUGGAGCCGGAAGGCAAAAAGGUGGAAAGGAUUCUGAGCACCACUCCAUCUCGCACUGGAGCUUUCUCAGCAACCCAGAUUUUGCACCCCACACGCGUCUACCACUCUGCCAAGUUUAAAAAUUGCAACAAGAAAGGGCCUCGGCUUCAAGCUGGAAUGACAUACAUUCAACACACUUAAGACGCUCUGGCUGGUAAACUACUACGUGGAGGGAGCCAAGUCCUGUAGUGAUGUGCAAUGUUCCCAUAUACUUGUCAUGUCCAAGACUUGAUUAUGAGAGUUUUCUUUUUCUUUUUUUUAUCAAGCCAUCUGUAAUGUUGCAAAACUAUCACUAUGCUGAUCACAAGCACCCACUGAAAAGUAGAUUUUAUGCAGUUAUCUGUUGUGCAGCCUGUAAAAAAACAUGUAGAUUUGUAGUGAUUUUUGUCUCUCCCUUUGAAUGUGUGCGUGACAGUAAGAGGGAGGGAAGGACAGCAAGAGACAGGCAUGAAAUCUUGUCUUUUUUAUAUUUGACUGUAAACCUGUAAUGGAUUGUAGGAAUGAAAUUGCCUGUUACCAUAUGGGGGUAGCAUUGACGAAGGGUGCCAUCGGGUAACUAAA
ensembl:lncRNA